rnacentral:rRNA from 1 species
AGAGCGAACGCUGGCGGCAGGCUUAACACAUGCAAGUCGAGCGGGCGUAGCAAUACGUCAGCGGCAGACGGGUGAGUAACGCGUGGGAACAUACCUUUUGGUUCGGAACAACACAGGGAAACUUGUGCUAAUACCGGAUAAGCCCUUACGGGGAAAGAUUUAUCGCCGAAAGAUUGGCCCGCGUCUGAUUAGCUAGUUGGUGAGGUAACGGCUCACCAAGGCGACGAUCAGUAGCUGGUCUGAGAGGAUGAUCAGCCACAUUGGGACUGAGACACGGCCCAAACUCCUACGGGAGGCAGCAGUGGGGAAUAUUGGACAAUGGGCGCAAGCCUGAUCCAGCCAUGCCGCGUGAGUGAUGAAGGCCCUAAGGGUUGUAAAGCUCUUUUGUGCGGGAAGAUAAAUGACGGUACCGCAACGAAUAAGCCCCGGCUAAACUUCGUGCCAGCAGCCGC